rnacentral:rRNA from 1 species
GACGAACGCUGGCGGCGUGCUUAACACAUGCAAGUCGAACGGAAAGGCCUGCUUUCCCUUGUGGAUUGCGGGUACUCGAGUGGCGAACGGGUGAGUAACACGUGAGUGAUCUGGCCCCAACUUGGGUAUAAGCCUGGGAAACUGGGUCUAAUUCCCGAUAGGACUGCAGGGUGGUGCCUGUGGUUGAAAACGAUUUUCUAGUGGUUGGGGAUGAGCUCUCGGCCUAUCAGCUUGUUGGUGGGGUAAUGGCCUACCAAGGCGGCGACGGGUAGCCGGCCUGAGAGGGUGGACGGCGACAUUGGGACUGGGAUACGGCCCAGACUCCUACGGGAGGCAGCAGUGGGGAAUAUUGCACAAUGGGCGGAAGCCUGAUGCAGCGACGCCGCGUGGGGGAUGACGGCCUUCGGGUUGUAAACUCCUUUCGACCGCGAGGAAGCCACCUGGUUGGAAGGGUGGUGACGGUAGUGGUAGAAGAAGCACCGGCUAACUACGUG